rnacentral:miRNA from 2 species
GGGAGCGAGACGGGGACUCACU